CAUUGAGAUUUAUCUACCAAAAAGUUUGUUUCUAUCUUUUCUGCUAUUUUUAUUAGUGCACCUCUAUCAUUGAGAUUUAUCUAUCAAAAAAUUUGUUCCUAUCUUUCUCCUCUCUUGGUAUAUUAAUAAGAUGAGAACUCUUCUGCUAUUCUGAGUCGUUGAUGGGUUCAGAUUUCAUAGAAGAAAUCUUGUUCUAUACUACUAGAAGAAGAAGAUUUGUCGGUGCAUGAUUUAUCUUAAUGCUAUCGCUGAGACUGACCUAUACAAGUGUGAGCUAGAAGAUUUGCCUGGCAGUUGUGGGAGGAACAAUUCAAGUCCCAACUCUAACGGCGAGGAAUGUUUCCAUGGAACAAAUGAUAGCAUUGAGGAGUGCUCUUCGUGAUGAAUUUCAAGAAAUACAAGACCAGUUCAGGGUUUACGUAGAAGACCAGUGUAUGUAGCUAUGUAAGAAAGACCAAAAAUUAAUGAAUUAUUAAGCUUCAAAUUAAAUAAUGGCUUGUAAAUUUACCAUGAGAAUCACUGUGAUGUUGUACUGUGAUGCCACAGCUUAUUUUGAGGGCUUUUUUGUUCUUGAGUUGCAACAUCUCAUGGUUCAAUUUUUGUACGUAUGCUGAGAAAAAAAUGGAAAACUUAAGAGGGUAUUUACAUCA